rnacentral:ncRNA from 1 species
GGUUUGGCUUUAUUUUUAUAAAGUCGAUUAAAAGGGAAUCUAGUUAAAAUCUAGAACUGUUCCCGCAACUGUAAGCUAAAACGCUUGUUAUAAACUUCAAUGUCACUGGAAUUUAUUUUCUGGGAAGACCGAUAACAAGACGCAAGUCAGGAGACCUGCCAAUUUC